CAUUACACAAAUAUGAAGCCGGACUGGGAUAGGGCCUCGCUGCCUUGCCCGUCUGGCGCCAUAUUCACCCAUGUCUUUUUGCGUACUACUUGUUUCCUUGGCGGGUCCGCCCGCCAAUUGGACCUUAUUCAAACCUUUUUUUCAGUUGCAAUCAGCGUCAGCAAAACAAAUGUAAUCAAUUACAACUUUCAACAACGGAUCUCUUGGUUCUGGCAUCGAUGAAGAACGCAGCGAAAUGCGAUAAGUAGUGUGAAUUGCAGAAUUCAGUGAAUCAUCGAAUCUUUGAACGCACAUUGCGCCCUUUGGUAUUCCAAAGGGCAUGCCUGUUCGAGCGUCAUUUGUACCCUCAAGCUUUGCUUGGUGUUGGGCGUCUUGUCUCUCUCCCGAGACUCGCCUUAAAAUCAUUGGCAGCCGGCCUACUGGUUUCGGAGCGCAGCACAUUAUUUGCGCUCUUGUCCAGCCGCGGUCGCGCGUCCAUGAAGCUUCUUUCAACCUUUUGACCUCGGAUCAGGUANGGAUACNC
rnacentral:rRNA from 1 species